ensembl:lncRNA
GGGAGCCGGGAGCCCGGAGCCCCGGGCGCGCGGGCCGCCCGCUGCCGCGCUGGUUCGCCGGGCGAGGCGCGGCGGAGGGCGGGAAGGACGGGGGGCGAGAGCUAAUAACUAGACCGGGAGGCGAGAGCGUGCGGGUGCGGAGACUCCGGGCGGGAAGAAGGACGAGCGGGAAGUCAAGGCUCCAGCCUCUAAAUGUGGUUUGAUAUGUACUACCUUGAGCCACACAGUCCUGGGAUGUUUCCUCGUGUAGAAGAAGAGAAUGGACAUUGUCUACGUGCAUGGACCUGAACCUUUGCUCUCAGAUGUUUAGUUGGUCGCCUUUCAGGAGAGAUUGUAAUAUUUUAGGAGCUUCUGUGAAAUGCAGCUGAGCAUUGGAAAUCUGCUUCUUGAACAUGUGCGUUCCUUCUCAGUGCAGCCCUUUCAAGAGCGUUAGAACUAAAUCCUGUAAUAUAUUCCCAUUUAACUGGGAGUAUUAAGUCACAUGUGAAACUGCAUCCUGUAAAUGUCUAAUUCUAAAGUAGGACAAGCUACAAUUAAAUACCUUAAAGACAAAACCUACGCAUCCUUAAAACCACAAGUUUCUCAGAUAAACCCCUUGAAAAAGUGAACCGAUAAAGCCUGUAUCUUUCCUAAAUGACUUAGACCUCCGGGUAGCCACAACUGAAGGGAAUUUGCCCUUUUUCAGAGCUGUCCAUCCAGUAACAAGAUCUGAUACAACAUCGAGGGCUUUUGCCCUAAGGAAGUAACAGAUCUAAUAAUGGACCUAGGCAGAGUCACCAGCGACUACUGACAACACAAAGCGAGAAACAGACAACCGACGUUACAUGGCUCUGAUCAAGGACACAACACCAUGUAUGAGGAUUCUUACCAAAAAUGAAACCGGAGUCUGAUCACCCUCAAGAUCUGCUUCCCAGUUUCCAGGAGUUACGGAGAUCAGAGGAGCACGUUAGAAAUACCAUGGGGAUGCAACCACGAAAUCCCGACCGGGGAAAGGACAGGAUGUCUUGACCUGAAUGCAAUGCAGUCUCACACCCGGAAGUGGAUGCUGGACCCAAAGACAGAGGCGCCAGGGAACUCCUAGUGCUCACAGAAAGUGCAGAAAUUCCUGGGAUGUUUCUUCUCUCUGUUCUGCGUGCUCCAGAAACCAAGCAGUCCCGUGGUGGUGACGGCGGAGGCCACAGGGACAGCUGAAGAAGCCAACACUCCAAGGGAGGGGAGCUGGGACCCCCAAGAAGGUGAGACAAACCCCGAACUGCCUUUUUCUCUCUUUAUCCUGCUACUUGCCCUGGAUCAAGCACAAUCACAGGCGUGGCAGCGGAGAGCCAUAACUAACACCUCAGCUUGGGGGCCCCCCAGGAAAAGCAGAGGCCCAGGCACUGAAAAGGACCUGGCAGACAGUGCCACAGAGCAGAUGCCCGUGUCUCCCCAGGUUCGUAUGUUGAAAGCUAACGUGCUGGUAUGAGGAAGGAGGCCUCUAGGAGGGGAUUCGGCCACAAGGGCUUCACGAGCGGGAUCAGGGCCCUUCUAAGAGACCUCCGAGGGCCCCUCCCCCUCUGCCGCGCAAGAACACACAGUGAGACGGCAGGUGCCUCUGAACCAGGAAGCGGGCCUUCAUCAGUCACCAAACCUAUGGGUGCCUUAAUCUCGGACUUCCCAGCCUCCAGAACUGUAAUAAAGAAACUGUAGAAAAUGAAUCUUAUUGUUGAAGCCACCCAGUCUGGCAUUCUUGUUAUAGCAGCCUGAGCAGACUGAGACGGAUUGUUCAUGAACCCCUGGGCUCACGCCCGAGCUCGGCAUGUGUGGGUCUGAUCCUAAGCAGGGUUUUGAAGUCUGAAACUGAGCUCACAGAUACAUCACCACCCACGUUCCAAACUAACCACCAGGUAACCCACGCGUGGGACAUACCUGAACAGUGCCGCAAAGAUUUGAAAAACUAACCUUGCACUGGAAACAGAGCCCACAGAAAAUGGGUUGAAACUUGCAACUUUAACCUAGCCAGAUGGAUCGUUGGUUAAAAAAAAAUCAACAGUCUUUAUAGGAUU